UUCUGCUCUCGGAACUCUGAGCCUGUCUGCCCCUGUUCUGAUUAAGACCAGGGGCAGACCAGGGGUUAAGACUCCUGUUGGAUUCUGCCUACUUAUGACCUUGGAUCUGUCUCCUGAGCCGGGCUUGGAUCUCCCUACAGUACCUCUUCGGAUCUCUGAUCUUCUGGCCAGGACUUCUGUUUCCUCAUCCAUAAGAAACUCCUGCUCUUCCUAGUCUGGCUUCUGCUCGUCAGCCAACUCUGCAGCCUUCUUGGCCUCGGCUCCUAGAGCUCUCUGGCCACUGCGUCCACCGCUUGCUGUGGAAAAUCAUCCGGCUGGAUUUUACUCCUUCCUCUGGGCAUUUGCUGGUCAAAUAAAGCGGUCUGGCUGGAUUCCACUCCUAUUUCUGGGCAUGGACUGAACUCUAAAACCAGAGAUUACUGCCUUUGACACCCUUGUGGCUGAGUUGCAGAUCCAACAUGCUUUUAUAAACGCUUUUGUAAUCUGUCUGUUUUGAAUUCUGGGUCUUCAGAUCCGAGCCAUGGCAGUUUUCAUUUCAUUUGGAAUACAAGGUCUAAUUGUCUGGAGGAAGAAUUGAGAA